rnacentral:lncRNA from 1 species
CGGAGAGGUAGAAGAAGGGCCACCUCUCCCUGGCCGCCCCUAUGGGAACGUCACUUCUGAGCUGAGAUGUACAGCGGCCCGGGCAAAGGCUAAGAAGAGAUCUGCAGAGCAAGUUGAACUAAGUGAAGUUGAAAGGAGUCAUUGAUCUUCUCAAGACUGACUAAG